AGGUUUUUGGAGGAAGGUUCGUCCGCUCCAAGUUAGUCGGGAGCUAAGGUGAGGCCGGAAGGCGUAGCCGAUGCACAGACGGUAGAGAUUCCGUCACCACCAAAAGAGUUAAGCACAGGGACACAUUUGAAGUCUCAGAGCCGGGUGUUGGUUCCGGUAGAGAUCGAGGGAAAUUAGUACCGAAGUCUGGGAUGGAGGAUGGCGAGAAAAGCUGUGUGUAUUUCUGAGGUGCCCGUACCGCAAACCGACACAGGUAGGUAGGAAGAAGAUUCUAAGGCCAACGGGAGAAGGGUUGUUAAGGAACUCGGCAAAUUGACCCCGUAACUUCGGGAGAAGGGGUGCUCCAGAGAUGGAGCCGCAGAGAAUCGGCCCAAGCAACUGUUUACCAAAAACACAGGUUUGUGCUAAAUCGAAAGAUGACGUAUACGAGCUGACGCCUGCCCGGUGCUGGAAGGUUAAGAGGAGAUGUGCAAGCAUUGAAUCGAAGCCCCAGUGAACGGCGGCCGUAACUAUAACGGUCCUAAGGUAGCGAAAUUCCUUGUCAGGUAAGUUCUGACCCGCAUGAAAGGCGUAAUGAUUUGGGCACUGUCUCAACAGCCCGCCCGGCGAAAUUGUAGUACCGGUGAAGAUGCCGGUUACCCGCGACAAGACGGAAAGACCCCAUGGAGCUUUACUGUAGCCUAAUAUUGGGUUUCGAUGUUGCAUGCACAGGAUAGAUGGGACACUGGGAAACAAUCGCUUUGGCGGUUGCGGAGUGGCCGUUGGGAUACCAUCCUUGCGAUAUUGGAAUUCUAACCUGCGGCUCUGAAUCGAGUCGGGGGACAUUGUUAGGUGGGCAGUUUGACUGGGGCGGUCGCCUCCUAAAAAGUAACGGAGGCGUUCAAAGGUUCGCUCAGCUUGAACGGAAAUCAAGCAAGAGAGUGCAAACGCAGAAGCGAGCCUAACUGCGAGACUGACGGGUCGAGCAGUAACGAAAGUUGGAGUUAGUGAUCCGGUGGUAUGUGAGUGGAAAUGCCAUCGCUCAACGGAUAAAAGUUACCCUGGGGAUAACAGGCUGAUCUCCCCCAAGAGUCCACAUCGACGGGGAGGUUUGGCACCUCGAUGUCGGCUCAUCGCAUCCUGGGGCUGAAGUAGGUCCCAA
rnacentral:rRNA from 1 species